rnacentral:rRNA from 1 species
UACGGAGGGUGCUAGCGUUGUUCGGAAUUACUGGGCGUAAAGCGUGCGUAGGCGGCUUAUUAAGUCAGACGUGAAAGCCUCGAGCUCAACUCGAGAACUGCGUUUGAUACUGUUAGGCUAGAGAUCUAGAGAGGUAAGUGGAAUUCCUAGUGUAGAAGUGAAAUUCGUAGAUAUUAGGAGGAACACCAGAGGCGAAGGCGACUUACUGGAUAGAUACUGACGCUGAGGUACGAAAGCGUGGGGAGCAAACAGG